UGGAAAAUCAUUUUAAGAGAGAAAUAGUGCCUUUAAUUUCCAGAGAGAAAUUCCCUGCAGGGGAACUGGAAGGCUCAUACACACCCAAUUGCCCCACACACUGGCCAGGUCUGAGAGUGCUGACACUAUUGUAUGGGUUGGAACAAGCAAACAGUCACAUGGAUCUUGGUGUAUUCAAUGGUGGCCUCGGUGCUGGGAUCCUCGCAAAUUUGUUACUACACAGGAAACAUCAGUGCCCCACAGAUGCUGAUUGUGGAGUUCUUCAACCAGAGCAGUUCAAGGAGCCCAUGUCUUCCCAUGCUUUGGUCCUUCAAUGUCAGCAUGUUGGCUUUGGAGGCUCUGCCACAGCAUUCAUGG